CCUACGGGAGGCAACAGUGGGGGAUAUUGCACAAUGGGGGAAACCCUGAUGCAGCGACGCCGCGUGGGUGAAGAAGUAUUUCGGUAUGUAAAGCCCUAUCAGCAGGGAAGAAAGAAGACGGUACCUGACUAAGAAGCCCCGGCUAACUACGUGCCAGCAGCCGCGGUAAUACGUAGGGGGCGAGCGUUAUCCGGAUUCACUGGGUGUAAAGGGAGCGUAGACGGCCGUGCAAGCCAGGAGUGAAAGCCCGGGGCCCAACCCCGGGACUGCUCUUGGAACUGUGCGGCUGGAGUGCGGGAGGGGCAGGCGGAAUUCCUGGUGUAGCGGUGAAAUGCGUAGAUAUCAGGAGGAACACCGGCGGCGAAGGCGGCCUGCUGGACCGCGACUGACGUUGAGGCUCGAAAGCGUGGGGAGCGAACAGGAUUAGAUACCCUUGUAGUC
rnacentral:rRNA from 1 species